rnacentral:rRNA from 1 species
AUUGAACGCUGGCGGCAGGCCUAACACAUGCAAGUCGAGCGGCAGCGGGAAAGUAGCUUGCUACUUUUGCCGGCGAGCGGCGGACGGGUGAGUAACGCCUGGGAAAUUGCCCAGUCGAGGGGGAUAACAGAUGGAAACGACUGCUAAUACCGCAUACGCCCUACGGGGGAAAGCAGGGGACCUUCGGGCCUUGCGCGAUUGGAUAUGCCCAGGGGGGAGUAGCUAGUUGGUGGGGUAAUGGCUCACCAAGGCGACGAUCCCUAGCUGGUCUGAGAGGAUGAUCAUCGACGCUGGAACUGGGACACGGUCCAGACUCCUACGGGGGGCAGCAGUGGGGAAUAUUGCACAAUGGGGGAAACCCUGAUGCAGCCAUGCCGCGUGUGUGAAGAAGGCCUUCGGGUUGUAAAGCACUUUCAGCGAGGAGGAAAGGUUGGCGCCUAAUACGUGUCAACUGUGACGUUACUCGCAGAAGAAGCACCGGCUAACUCCGUGCCAGCCGCCGCAGUAAUAC